CCUGCCCUGUACACACGGAUAACAUACCGAAAGGUAUGCUAAUACGAGAUAAAAUACUUUUAUCGCAUGGUAGAAGUAUCAAAGCUUUUGCGGUACAGGAUGGACCCGCGUCUGAUUAGCUAGUUGGUAAGGUAACGGCUUACCAAGGCGACGAUCAGUAGCCGACCUGAGAGGGUGAUCGGCCACAUUGGAACUGAGACACGGUCCAAACUCCUACGGGAGGCAGCAGUGGGGAAUAUUGCACAAUGGGCGAAAGCCUGAUGCAGCAACGCCGCGUGAGCGAUGAAGGCCUUCGGGUCGUAAAGCUCUGUCCUCAAGGAAGAUAAUGACGGUACUUGAGGAGGAAGCCCCGGCUAACUACGUGCCAGCAGCCGCGGUAAUACGUAGGGGGCUAGCGUUAUCCGGAAUUACUGGGCGUAAAGGGUGCGUAGGUGGUUUCUUAAGUCAGAGGUGAAAGGCUACGGCUCAACCGUAGUAAGCCUUUGAAACUGGGAAACUUGAGUGCAGGAGAGGAGAGUGGAAUUCCUAGUGUAGCGGUGAAAUGCGUAGAUAUUAGGAGGAACACCAGUUGCGAAGGCGGCUCUCUGGACUGUAACUGACACUGAGGCACGAAAAGCGUGGGGAGCAAACAGGAUUAGAUACCCUGGUAGUCCACGCCGUAAACGAUGAGUACUAGCUGUC
rnacentral:rRNA from 1 species